UAGUUCGAAAGAUUAGUUAAUACCGCAUACGACCUGAGGGUGAAAGUGGGGGACCGCAAGGCCUCACGCAGCAGGAGCGGCCGAUGUCUGAUUAGCUAGUUGGUGGGGUAAAGGCCCACCAAGGCGACGAUCAGUAGCUGGUCUGAGAGGACGAUCAGCCACACUGGGACUGAGACACGGCCCAGACUCCUACGGGAGGCAGCAGUGGGGAAUUUUGGACAAUGGGGGCAACCCUGAUCCAGCAAUGCCGCGUGUGUGAAGAAGGCCUUCGGGUUGUAAAGCACUUUUGUCCGGAAAGAAAUCGCGCUGGUUAAUACCUGGCGUGGUUGACGGUACCGGCAGAAUAA
rnacentral:rRNA from 1 species